rnacentral:rRNA from 1 species
CUACGGGUUGCAGCAGUGAGGAAUUUUGCGCAAUGGGGGCAACCCUGACGCAGCAACGCCGCGUGAGUGAAGAAGGCCUUUGGGUCGUAAAGCUCUGUCAAUGGGGAAGAAGUUAUAUUGUUUAAAUAGGGCAAUGUAUUGACGGUACCCAUGAAGGAAGCACCGGCUAACUCCGUGCCAGCAGCCGCGGUAAUACGGGAGGUGCAAGCGUUAUUCGGAAUUAUUGGGCGUAAAGCGUCCGCAGGCGAUCUUUUAAGUCCGACAUUAUAAUGCGCAGCUCAACUGCGUAGUGUGCCGGAAACUGGAAGAAUUGAGUCACCCAGAGGCAUCUGGAAUGCCAUGUGAAGGGGUAAAAUCCGUUGAUCCAUGGUAGAACGCCAAAAGUGAAGACAAGAUGCUGGGGGUGUACUGACGCUCAGGGACGAAAGCGUGGGGAGCGAAGGGGAUUAGAUACCCCGGUAGUC